rnacentral:rRNA from 1 species
UGAUCACGGCCUCAGAACGAACGCUGGCGGCAUGCCUAACACAUGCAAGUCGAACGAGACCUUCGGGUCUAGUGGCGCACGGGUGCGUAACGCGUGGGAAUCUGCCCUUUGCUUCGGAAUAACAGUUAGAAAUGACUGCUAAUACCGGAUGAUGUCUUCGGACCAAAGAUUUAUCGGCAAAGGAUGAGCCCGCGUAGGAUUAGGUAGUUGGUGGGGUAAAGGCCUACCAAGCCGACGAUCCUUAGCUGGUCUGAGAGGAUGAUCAGCCACACUGGGACUGAGACACGGCCCA